rnacentral:misc_RNA from 1 species
UAUACUGCGUAGCUGGUGAGCGCGUCAACGAUCUGUACAAAUAUGCAGACGUUAUCCUAACGUUACGAACGUAUUUACGACUACUACAGUGAAAUAUGUAAAUAAAUGUAAAUAACGUUCAAAGUGACGCAUGCAAAAAGAGAGCGCUAAAAUACCCCCUACAAGUUUUACGCUCAGUGCGUAGAGAAAUUAAAAAAAAAAAGUACUCGUUAAACAUGUCGUGCACAUAAGUUCUGAAGCCAAGCGAAGAAGGGAAGACAUAGCAUACAAAAUCAAAUGGGAAAUAAAUUAAAAAAAAUUGAUGAGAAUACGAAUGAGCAAGUCGAUGACCGGAAGGCAUCUGGACGGAUCCCCCAUAACCUGGAGACACUUGUGAAUCUGGAACACUCGACCGCUGAGAACAAUAUAAUUUAUCAAUUACGUGUAACAAGUUUGUGAUUUUAUGUAAUAACUCGAGACUAACUCUGUAAUUACCUGUAACGAUACAUUUGGCGCAACAGUAUUGUUCAAAAGGUUAUCGAUAUUGUGAAUUCCGGUAGUAAUUUGGUCCGUAGCUGUAGCAUUGGAAGGAAUGAGUAACUGCUGUUGCUGCUGUUGCUGCAGCAACCUCUGCUUCAACUGUUGCUGUUGUUGUUGUUGUAUCAUUUUCGUCCGCUGCUGUUGCAUUUGUAAUUGCUGUUGUUGCGUGAAUUGAGCGGUCGUCUGCCUGACGCCCGGUUGCGUAUUAAACCUCAUCCUUGACUGUUGUUGAUAUAUCGGUGGUGGCUGGUAACUAUGACUCGUCGUUACAGGGGUGGUACCCAACUAAAAUUAUAUCGUUCAUAAAUAUUAAUUAUUACGACCAUGUAAUACCGUGUAACGAAUACACGCGACAAGUAAUAUCGAUAGAGCUACCAGAACGGUCGAUAUUAAAAGUAAUAUGUACACAUAUUUAAACGUAUAUUACGAUUAUCGCAGACGCGUUAUAAAAAUACGCGCGAAAAGGAUAUCAACUUACUGCUGUAGAGUAAGCUGGAGGCGUGCCAGGAAUUGUUAUGGUGGAAGACGUUGGAUUUACGGCAGUCUCGCAUAACAUCAACGACUUCUGUAUCGCGUUAAUCGCCAUCUUCUCGUUCAACGCGUUGUUUUGCGGUGCUUCGAUUGCAUCUAGGAGAUUUGCUAUCGCAGACGAAUCUAUUGAAUAAAAAUUAUUAUCUAUAAUGAUAAUUACUUUCGCUGUCACACGCGGACAAAUUGCACAAAUAACCCCCGUGAGUAUAUUAGCUUGCUGCUAACGAGUAUCUCUCGAUACGAACGAAGC